CACCCUUGAAAAUCAUUUUGUACACAUCAGACCAGAAUAACAGUACAGACUCAGUAUUUGUUUGCUAUUUAGAUCAAUAUAUUACAUUCCCAUAACGUUUUGCAGCAUAUUUAACCCUUCCAAGCUCUGGAGUUGAUAGUGUUGGUGUUGGACCCGUCCUCCCCCCCCUGCUGUGGAUCAGAUCAGAGGAAUGUGCCGAGUCACGACUCACCUGCCUGAUUCUCUGCAGUCUUCACCUCCCCUCCUGCACACACUGUUGCCACAACACACCUGUGUAUCUAUUGUCAAUACAUCCUACAGAGUGUGUUCGAGGCGGGACAGGUGGGAGAAGAGUGAUGAAUUCAAUCUAAAGAGACAAAGACCACAAAGCCAAGCAUCUGCGUACACAACGUGAUGCCGUGACAGCCAGGAAAUCAAGUUUAUUUAUUCAUUUGUCGUAGUCGUGAUUAUUUAAUGGAAACUCAAUGAGCUGCUGAACAAUGGUGGCUCCCGUUUGAUGAAUAAUUCUGACAGGCGUCUGAGAUUCUGCAGUUCCAUCCCUGCUGUAUUGAUUAAUUUCUGCAGUGUCACAGUAGUGGAGAAUUGUGCAAACAUUCAUCUCCAGUGCCGCUGGAUUGUUUCGAUUUGUUGAUGAAGUGAUUGCAUCCUUACAAACUCCGACACCGUCAAAACACUCUCACAGUUAAGUCGAUGCCUCUCUGAAAGCUCUUUGUCUCAUUUCUAAAACACUGGCAGAGGGAAGCACAUUAUGAGCAGCAGACUGACUGAUUGUGUGCAGGCCGUAAUGGCUCAGGUAUUGUCUGGGCUGCCUCUAACUUUUUAGAGCAGCAGUUUUGAGCGUCAGCUUAAUAAUGCUGACAAUCCAUAGUCACCUCACCGGCUGGCUGCUGUGCAGAGAGGCAGAGUCAGGCCCCUUCUGGUGGAGAGGCAUGGGACCUUAUUUCAGGCCCAGAGACAAAUUGUGUUUUUGAACCCAUUUGAAUUGUGUCAUUAACCACACAACAGGUGUUUGUCAGUUUAAAAGAUGGGUUUUCAACUGGAGAAGUGUCUCAGUUUGUCCUAAAACUAAUAAAAUAUGUAAUUAUAAAGAUGACACAGCCAACAGUCGUGUUAGUAACUUAGGCUCCCACAUAUUCGCUGGCUCGUGAAACUUACUAACUCUCCUCUGAGAGUGCUGCAGCUGUCAAUGUGUCCACACUUGUUGUCAUUUUCACCUUAUAAUACUUCCUCUGUGCCUGAGGGGACGGCCAUGUUCGUUUUGUUGACGUAUGUUGAGCGAGACGGCUUAGUUCACUGAACAGAUUAACAUAAAACCAGAUGAUAUUUUACGAUCUUUAUAACAAGCAGCGACUUUAUUGACUUGCAAAAUGUCACGUCACGUCAACGUCUGUAACCACUCGCAGAGUUUGUUGCUGGAGCCAAUCCCAGCUGUCUCCGGGCGAGGGCAGGGUACACCCUGGACAAGUCGCCAGCUCAUCACAGGGCCCUCAAGAGCAAUUUGGGGUUCAGUAUCUUGCUCAAGGACACUUCAACAUGCAGCUCAGCAUGAUUUGAAACAGCGCCCUUCUGAUCACUAGCCAACCUGCUCUCCCCACUGAGCUACAGCCGCCCCGACGUGCAAAAUAACCUUUAAAUUGUUUUUAUGUUGUUAUUGUGUUAUUGUUAUUCUAUUUACUUAAAUUUCUGCUUUUUUAAGCACAUUAAAUCUGUGCCUGUCAUGAAAUGUGCUAUAUAGAUAAACUUGAUUUGAUUUGGA